CACGUAGGAGGCGAGCGUUGUCCGGAAUCAUUGGGCGUAAAGAGCGCGCAGGCGGCUUGGCAAGUCGGGUGUGAAAUCCCGGGGCUCAACCCCGGGACUGCAUUCGAUACUGUCAGGCUAGAGGUAGGUAGGGGAGAUCGGGAAUUCCUGGUGUAGCGGUGAAAUGCGCAGAUAUCAGGAGGAACACCGAUGGCGAAGGCAGGUCUCUGGGCCACUACUGACGCUGAGAAGCGAAAGCAUGGGGAGCGAACAGG
rnacentral:rRNA from 1 species